rnacentral:rRNA from 1 species
UACGUAGGUGGCAAGCGUUAUCCGGAGUUACUGGGCGUAAAGCGCGCGUAGGCGGUUUUUUAAGUCGGAUGUGAAAGCCCCCGGCUCAACCGUGGAGGGUCAUUCGAUACUGGCAGACUUGAGGGUAGGAGAGGGAAGUGGAAUUCCAUGUGUAGCGGUGAAAUGCGUAGAUAUAUGGAGGAACACCAGUGGCGAAGGCGGCUUUCUGGCCUAUAACUGACGCUGAUGCGCGAAAGCUAGGGGAGCGAACGGG